AAACACCUUAUUACUCUUUUCCAAGAAUACUUCUGUUGAUCUGAGAUUGUUUAUCCUCCUUUUGGCAGGUGAAAAUGCUCUUGUGACCUCACCCAAUCAAUCACUCACAUUCUUUGAUUUUUGCCAGCACUUCAGAGACCAUCCACAAUAAUACCAAACUCAUUAGCGGAAGCGAGGAUUAAAAGAUAAAUCUUGAGUCUUCACAUUUUCAGAUGUCUUAUCUGCUUAUGAUCGGACCAUACAAAGCGGAAAACACAAACAAGAAUUGGCAACUCCUGACAAAAAAUAUUUUGUCCAAAAGUUUACAACCAACUUUGGCGGCAGCAGGAAUUGAACCUGGGACCUCUGCUUCUAAAAGUAUGACCUUAUCCUCCCUGAGCUAAAAGGCAUACCUUUGUGCCCCCUUUAGAGUGCCUCGAUGUCUAAAGAUGCAGCUGAAGAUAAGAAACUGCAUGAACUGGGCCUGUCCUUUUGGAAAAUGGGCCAACUUUUGUAUAUACUCAAGUAACACCUAAUUUGUGUAUCCAAUGCAGGGAUUGGCAACCAUAUGUCAUUCUGUAUGUGUGUGGAUCUGUCCAUGCAACCUUUACUGGUGCACGCAGAUCAGGUGUUUUGAUCACACAGAUCAAAUACACCCUUUCUCCCCUCAACUAAAAAACAUGCAAAUAUUUAAGUGUUGGACCUAUUCUUUCUUUCUAUAUACCAGAUGCUUGUGCACCAACUUUAAUCUAGAAGACAGGUGCAUAAUACGUUUUAAUGGCUGGAAGUUGAAGCCAGCGAAGUUCAUACUGGAAAUAAGAUGUAAAUUUUUAAUGCCAGAGUAAUUAACCAUUGGGGCAGCUUAUAAAGGGAACUGG